GUGGGGAAUUUUGGACAAUGGGCGCAAGCCUGAUCCAGCAAUGCCGCGUGCAGGAAGAAGGCCUUCGGGUUGUAAACUGCUUUUGUACGGAACGAAACGGUCCUGGUUAAUACCCGGGGCUAAUGACGGUACCGUAAGAAUAAGCACCGGCUAACUACGUGCCAGCAGCCGCGGUAAUACUUAGGGUGCAAGCGUUAAUCGGAAUUACUGGGCGUAAAGCGUGCGCAGGCGGUGCUGUAAGACAGGCGUGAAAUCCCCGGGCUUAACCUGGGAAUUGCGCUUGUGACUGCAGUGCUGGAGUGCGGCAGAGGGGGAUGGAAUUCCGCGUGUAGCAGUGAAAUGCGGAGAUAUGCGGAGGAACACCGAUGGCGAAGGCAAUCCCCUGGGCCUGCACUGACGCUCAUGCACGAAAGCGUGGGGAGCAAACAGGAUUAGAAACCCCUGUAGUCC
rnacentral:rRNA from 1 species